GAGACAGUAAUGAAACAUUUGAGGUGCAGUUGACGAGGGGGUCGUACCUACUACAAGCGAUAGACUUUAUUAGCUGAUUUUGCGGAAAAAAAUCACCUGUCGACUAUCUACAUACAGUUCUCUCUGUGUAGCCGCCAGCUACUAGAAUGGACGGCGGCGCCUCUUCCUGCCGGAGUCAUUACUAACAUUCGCGUGAAGUUACCCGGCCCACGAAAUCAUUCGUCUUCUCUUCUUGUCAGUAGAGAGUUAGAGACCACUGACAAAGAUAAUAGGGAAGAUUGCUAACGGCGCAUGAACUACGAUAGUGAGCGUACCUGUUCGUAGGGCAUUACCAGGCAGAACGUGGCUAACUGGACUGAGAGCCUUUUGCAAAGAGGCUUGACAGAAAUGGUGUCACGCACUGCAUCCCGAGGGUACUCGGUCGCUGUUUUGGCGAGAAGAGACUAAUGGUUUCCUGGGUCAGGUAGCUCACUGGCGGCUGGUGGCGACGAAAAGAUUCGUAUUUAGAUGGUCGACGGGUCCCUUCUUUUGGCAAAAAAAUGAACAUUAUCGUUUGUAGUACAAACAAUAAAAUAGCCUCAUUUUGCGAAAAGCAAAAAUGAAUUAUCCUUGCGAUGUUGGAAUGAAAAAUGAGAUCAGAAAGAAAAGUUACUAGUUUGGCCUUAAAAUAAACAUUUAUUUUAACUGACAAAUCACACAUUACAAACCAAUCUUCCAGCGAACACGACAGUGAUUUGUCUAUUCUGAAGAAUGAGUACUCAUGCAAACAUACGUCCAUUUACCCCUAGAAAAAAAUUAUUGAUCUAUUUCAUUUUUCAACGUUUUUUAAUAAAAAAUUUCACAAUUCUACGAUUUAUCUUUAGCAAUAGGGUUUCUCAGUUUCAAACAAUCGAUCAUCAAAAUAAUUGCAGAAAAAUUAAGAAUGAUCGACAAUGUAGUAGUACUAAGGUGAGAUACGUCAAUUUAAAAUAUCUGUACUCUUCGGUGAGGCUGCACUACUUUUGCAUAUUGUCAGUUUUUGAAUUUCCGAUGAAAUUUGUAAGGAAUUCUGAGGAUAACUCCCCCAAACAUCCCGGAUCCAAAUUUAUUAUCUAGAGUCGGGUUUAGAGAGCCGAAGGGUGAGUGUCGAGGAAAGAGUCGAGUAUCCGGAGUCCGAGAGGAUGGUCGAGUAAGACUGAUCGGUGCUGAUCAAGUGCGGGGCGAUCAGCCGGGAAGGUGAUUACGAUGCGUGAGUGGUACGUUCUGAUCCUCUGGGAUAAUCUGGAGGCAUUAGGAAAUUUCGAUGCCUCCCCACUGUGGGAGGAAAUUUUCGCGAGAUCCAUUUAGUUUUUUUGGUAAUUCGGUAUUCGGCAUUCGGUAAUGUUAUAAUUUGGGAAAUAGGCAGUAUGCGAGUCCAGCUCGAGAAUAGUGGAGAAAUGCGAUAGAGAGGAGGAAUUGCCCUGAAGGGUCCAAAGAGAAUAGGAUUCGAUAGUUAAAUUAGACCGAAUAUUAGGGAUUUCGAGCCUCUUCAUUCGCGUUUUCUAUCUCGGCGGACUCCUAUCUAUUUAAAGGAUUUUUGGAUAACUAGAUUAAAACUGUUACGAUGUUGUCACUUAGAUUUGUUUAAAGUUACUGAGGUAUGAUAAUUUUUUUUUGUCCGUUAUUACUUCCAAAGAUGUGUGUUAAAAUUAACUCAAUGAUAUUAAAAACCAUAACUAUAUAUUUAUCAAGAUUUCUGGCGGUUACGUAUUUUCUUUGUAAAUUAGAAACCCAACGAACCACCUCCAUCCGAACUACGCCCUCUCUCCACAACCUACCCCCUGAGCAGCGCGGGUGUCCAAGGUCUUCCCUUGGAUUCGCUAAGCAAAGCUAUAUAUUGUCGUUUCCGUAUGUUUUUUUUUGAGAAUUUGUUCAUUGAGACCCCGGUUUGCAGUUCCCCGGUAAAAAGGACGGCUGGGGCCCAACAAAUGUUGCUUGCGAAUCCAGGAGAAAGGGCAGUUAACGGAUUUUUCCCAACCCCGAGGAAAAAUUUCGUUACAAAUUGCAUAAGAAAAAUUUAUAUGAAGCCAUCUCCGAUAAUUAUAUCCUGAUUAACGUAAAUUGCAUUUCAUAGAAUAGUGUAAUUUGAUCCCCGUUCGUAACUAUAAAUAAGUAACAGAAUUUACUUCCACAAUAGUAGAUCUGUAAUUAUGAAAUUUCGAAAAUUGUCGGGAUUUUUUAAUAUCUACGAAUGCAAAAUGCAUUCACAUUUCAAUUUCAAACUGCAAUUGAAAUAUUUAUGUUAACACAACCCACUGGAUUGACUCGUAAUUUUCAAAUACUUCUUUUGAAAGUCCAAAACGAGAAAUUAAUUCAGGAAAUAAUUUGCAUUUUUCUUAGGAUGUACGAUAAUCUUGGAGUUCACCGCAAAAGUAAAGUUAUUUUAAUUUUUCAAAUAAGCUUGCAAUAAUUAUUACUGCGUUUACUGAAGAUGGAUAAAUUUUCAAUCGACCUUUCUCAUUCUGCAUGAUUAUGUUUAAAGAAUUUCGUUAUAAAAUUUCUCCACUGUUCUCAACCGCAGGAAUAUUUAUUUGAAACUUAAGUAUGAUGUUCAUUCUAGAAGAGGAUAUUUCUCUCCAAACACUUACUUAAUUAUCUCAAUCAUUAGAAUUCUGGGGGGAAAAAGCCCAAAAAACUUCUUUCGCAGUUUACAAAUUCUCGACAAAAGUCGAAAAUACUCCUCACGUCACCUAUUCAAAUAACGCAAUGAUAUGCGAGAAUUUCAUUCUUACGUGCUCACUUUCCCCGUGAAAACAAUGUUUAUAUUAUUUAAAAAAAGGAAGAUAACGGUACUUGAAAGAUAUACACUUCCCUCUGUCGAGUGUGAAACCCUGUAAUAACAAUUGAUUGAUUAAUAUAAAUGUACAUUAAUAUUAUACGGAGAAUACGGUAGUAUUUCUAUACUUCUUAAUACUAUUUAUCCUUAAAUCAACAUUUGGAUUUAUCUUAUGCAUGUAUGUACAGUAAAGAUGAAUAAGAUCCUUAGGUGCCACGCCUCCAUUUUUCCCCAUUGCUAAACUUGGUCAUUUCUUUACCACUCACACCGCAUGUGCCGAUUCCCACUCUUCCAUUAACAUUUUCGGGUGUUGCAAAUAUACUUUUCUUGACCACUCCCUUUUUCGCUGACUGUAACAAAAAAAAAAUAUUAAAUAUUAUUGGAGAGCCCUUAGUAUGUGAGAGAAUCAUUAAUAUUCAGCAGUGCUACCAUUAGCACAUGCCUUCAAAAUUAAAAUAUUAUAAUUUGCAAAUUUAUGUUACAUGAAAUGUCAUGACAAUUAAAUGAAAAUUAAGAAAGAGAAACUAGAUCUUGAAGUUAGUGGUGGGCAGUACUAAGAGAUGAAUUAUUACCUUCGUCGAAAAAGCAAGCCAUUUAUUUUUCUCCUGCUCGCGCUCCUCCUCAAGUUCUUUAAAACGUUGUAAUUUUUUUUGUUUCUUUUUCUUGAGGUACUCCCUCUGUUUGGUAGGGUCUGUCCCUACUGCUGCUGCUGCCUGCAUUUUCCUGUGAAAUUAGGUCAGUUUAACAACGAUAGUAUUUCAAGAAGGCUCCAACAUAUCACUAAUGACGAAUAUUUGGACAUUUUGCUCGAUCACGAUUUUUAAUCGACGUGGGACAAUAUUGGAAUUUUUUAUUGAUUUAUUGGAAGGAGAAGUGGUUCAUGGUGGUGGUUCAACAAGCAUUCGCCGUUAUUUCAGAAGUCGAUUAUUUCAUAAUUCAAUCAACGGGAAGAAAGAAAAAG